rnacentral:rRNA from 1 species
GGAAUUUUCCGCAAUGGGCGAAAGCCUGACGGAGCAAUACCGCGUGAGGGAUGACGGCCUGUGGGUUGUAAACCUCUUUUCUCAAGGAAGAAGUUCUGACGGUACUUGAGGAAUAAGCAUCGGCUAACUCUGUGCCAGCAGCCGCGGUAAUACAGAGGAUGCAAGCGUUAUCCGGAAUCACUGGGCAUAAAGCGUCUGUAGGUGGUUUGGUAAGUCUGCUGUUAAAGACUGGGGCUCAACCCCAGAAAAGCAGUGGAAACUGCCAGACUUGAGUGUGGUAGAGGUAGAGGGAAUUCCUAGUGUAGCGGUGAAAUGCGUAGAUAUUAGGAAGAACACCAAUGGCGAAGGCACUCUACUGGGCCAUAACUGACACUGAGAGACGACAGCUAGGGGAGCAAAUGGGAUUAGAUACCCCUGUAGUC